UACGGGGGGGGCAAGCGUUGUUCGGAAUUACUGGGCGUAAAGGGCUCGUAGGUGGCCAACUAAGUCAGACGUGAAAUCCCUCGGCUUAACCGGGGAACUGCGUCUGAUACUGGAUGGCUUGAGUUUGGGAGAGGGACGCGGAAUUCCAGGUGUAGCGGUGAAAUGCGUAGAUAUCAGGAGGAACACCAAUAGCGAAGGCAGCUCGCUGGGACGGUACUGACGCUGAGGCGCGAAAGCGUGGGGAGCGAACAGG
rnacentral:rRNA from 1 species